CGGCGCCACCUUCCCGCGCUCCCUCCGCCGCCGGCAGAGCGCUGGUAACGCCCAGGAGCUUUGAUGCUUUCCCACGCUCCCGUUAGCCUGUAUUUAGGUGCAGAGAUCCGCCCCUUUGGGCCCCUGCAGGCCUUGGCCCCUCCCUCCACUUCUCCAAGCUGUUCAAGGUAAAACGGGCCCCGUGGAUGAUUGCAAAGUUUCCCCAGAGACCACCAGUUGCUGGGGCGGGGUGAACCAUGAGGUUCAUCUUCUACACAAGGCCAGUCCUCCAAGCCUGAGAGAGGCGGCUGCUGACCUCCUGCCCAGAAGUCAACACGGAGUGAAGCAGAGUGAGGAACAGGCACACGUUCCCAACGAAACAUAGAGCCUGAAGAAAACCAAAUGACAAGGACGAAACCUCUCCAGGAUGACACGGCUUCUUACUGGCUUCUUAGGGACCUGGUCACAGAGUUCCUCCUGGAGGAAGGGGUGGUGAAGUCGCAAACAAAGAGCUGAUGUUGUGGCUAUUACUGACUGAGUCACUAUAUAAAGAGCUCUGCCCAGUGCUCUAGGCGGAGGCAGAAACAAGGAGGACUACAAGGAGGAUCACAGAUCUGCAGACUGCUGGAUGCAGACACAUCCUAGUGCUUGAACUAUCGCCAGGAGAACAAAGUUGGGCAAUAAACCCUUUUAUCCCAAGAAUGUUCCAUUGUCAUUCCUCAGUCUCACUGAAUCCAUAGUGAACUUGUUUGCAGCUGAAACCCAUUGACAAGACAACAGAAGACUUCAAGCUAAAUGUUACACUAAUGCAUUUGUCCUGGGGAAAAUAAUUGGUAAAACAGGAUGCAUAUUUAUUCAUUUCUUAUGGCUUAAUCCUUUAAAUUCUCAUCAAUAAAAUUACAAAGUUGUGUCAAGACAGCCAUACUCUAAUUAUAUGCAUCCUGUUUUUUUAGCACAGUAGAGAACACCAAAUCUGAUUUUUAACUUAAAUUAUAAGGCAUAAUUUUUAUAAAAAUACAAUUACAUCUAAGUUUUUACAGCAUUUUAUAAAUUUUACUAGGUUGCUUAAUUUGAAUACUUAUUAUAUCAUCUUAAUUUUGUAUAAUAUCUUCCAAUAUCAUUCAUUGUUUUGGGGAAAACAAGUAUGAAGAAUACUAGAACCAAAAUCAUUCAAUUUUUAAAAAUCACUUAUCAUUUAUUCAACAAAUAUUUACUUAUUUCUUACUAUGUGGCAGUUAUCAUAUUUAGGAUUGAGUUUAUAUUGAUGAAAUAGAAAAAAUAUCGUCAUUUAAAAUUAGUGACAAAUCUAUCAUAAUGAUAAAGUGAAAUCAUUUUAAUACAAUACAAAUAGUUCAGUAAUUCUUGACCAAUUCAGUUUUCAGUUAGUGGUCCAAAAACACUACUUUGUCUGACAGAAGAAAUACAAAGAAAGAGUUAAUGCUAUUUUACUCUGGUGUUUGAGGAGCCAUAAUUGAGACUGUGUGCAAGUUUGCAUUUUUUGUAACUGGUUCAACUUGUCAUAAUCAGGAACAACUAUUGUUAAACAUGGAAACUCCAGUUUUAAAGGGUGUGUUAAAAAGUUAGAUAUGCUUCCAAUACCACAUUCAUGGUAAUGUGAGCAUUCUAACAUAUGGUACAGCUCCUAAAUGCCUUCAUUUAGGUUAAUUUUGAAAAUUAAUCCUAAAAACUGCCAUUUGCCAAUACAUAAAAAUUUCAGAGAAGGACUUGAAAAA